CAACGAAACGCGUGUCGGGGCUCCAUCUUUUACCCGGUCAGUCUGAUUACCUCUAACAGACAGAUCAUGAUACUCGGCGUAUACACAGCACGUGUAUUACCGCAUGCUUCAACAUUUGACUGACCUGGGCAAUAUGAUAAUCACUGGUGUACUGCUCUUUAGUGAUAGCUAGAUUUUGCUUACAAGCUAAGCACAGGUGCAAUGAAAGCACAGAUUAGUACCUAUUUUGAGCAGUUCACCAAUCUUAUUUUUGUGUCAGUUUUACUUUUACCCACAGUCUUUCUCUGGUCUCAACUCCAGUUUUCUUUUGAAUUUGUAUUUAGGUAUAGAGCACUGUUGAGCUG